CUUGCCUCCUAAUUAGAGGCUAGUAUGAACGGAUAGACGAAAGCAUAUUUGUCUCCCCUAUGGCACUAAAAAUUAUCUUUCAGGUGAAGAGACCUGGAUAAUAUAAAAAGACGAAAAGACCCUAUGGAGCUUUACUCUCCUUAAUAUUUAAAAGAAAUAGAAAGAAAUUUCUUUAUUAAAAAAGUUUAGUUGGGGCGACUAAGGAGUACAACAAAGCCUCCUUCCUCUAAAGAAAAUAAAUCAUCCUAAAAUCCACGAAAGUGAAUAAAAAUCCAGCUACCCUAGGGAUAAC
rnacentral:rRNA from 1 species